GAGCUCAAAUUUGAAAUCUGGUAGCCUUCGGUUGCCCGAGUUGUAAUCUAGAGAAGUGUUUUCCGUGCCGGCCCAUGUACAAGUCCCUUGGAACAGGGCGUCAUAGAGGGUGAGAAUCCCGUCCUUGACAUGGACCCCCGGUGCUUUGUGAUACACUUUCAACGAGUCGAGUUGUUUGGGAAUGCAGCUCAAAAUGGGUGGUGAAUUCCAUCUAAAGCUAAAUAUUGGCGAGAGACCGAUAGCGAACAAGUACCGUGAGGGAAAGAUGAAAAGCACUUUGGAAAGAGAGUUAAACAGUACGUGAAAUUGUUGAAAGGGAAACGAUUGAAGUCAGUCAUGCUCUUUGGUAUUUAUAUCAUUGAGUGGGGUCAACAUCAGUUUUGAUCGAUGGAUAAAGGCACUAGGAAGGUAGCACUCUCGGGUGAACUUAUAGCCUAGCGUCAUAUACAUUGAUUGGGACUGAGGAACGCAGCAUGCCUUUAUGGCCGGGAUUCGUCCACGUACAUGCUUAGGAUGUUGACAUAAUGGCUUUAAACGACCCGUCUUGAA
rnacentral:rRNA from 1 species